UACGUAGGUGGCAAGCGUUGUCCGGAUUUAUUGGGCGUAAAGCGCGCGCAGGCGGUUCUUUAAGUCUGAUGUGAAAUCUUGCGGCUUAACCGCAAGCGGUCAUUGGAAACUGGGGAACUUGAGUACAGAAGAGGAAAGUGGAAUUCCACGUGUAGCGGUGAAAUGCGCAGAUAUCAGGAGGAACACCGGUGGCGAAGGCGGUUCUCUGGGCAUGAUCUGACGCUGAGGAGCGAAAGUGUGGGGAGCGAACAGG
rnacentral:rRNA from 1 species